rnacentral:rRNA from 1 species
AUUGAACGCUGGCGGCAUGCUUUACACAUGCAAGUCGAACGGUAACAGGUUAAGCUGACGAGUGGCGAACGGGUGAGUAAUGCAUCGGAACGUGCCCGAUCGUGGGGGAUAACGCAGCGAAAGCUGCGCUAAUACCGCAUACGAUCUGAGGAUGAAAGCGGGGGACCGUAAGGCCUCGCGCGAUCGGAGCGGCCGAUGUCAGAUUAGGUAGUUGGUGGGGUAAAGGCCCACCAAGCCGACGAUCUGUAGCUGGUCUGAGAGGACAACCAGCCACACUGGGACUGAGACACGGCCCAGACUCCUACGGGUGGCAGCAGUGGGGAAUUUUGGACAAUGGGCGAAAGCCUGAUCCAGCAAUGCCGCGUGCAGGAAGAAGGCCUUCGGGUUGUAAACUGCUUUUGUACGGAGCGAAAAGGUCCUUUCUAAUACAAGGGGCUCAUGACGGUACCGUAAGAAUAAGCACCGGCUAACUACGUGCCAGCCGCCGCGGUAA